GAAAUGCGAUACGCAAUGCGAAUUGCAGAACCGCGAGUCAUCAGAUCUUUGAACGCAAGUGGCGAUAGCUUCGGCUAUCAUGUUUGUUUCAGUGUAUCCGGUUAAUUACAUCCAAGAACUUAAUGUGAUUGAGCAAUCUCUCACCAAGCAUGGAGCCGCCUUGUUGCGACGCCCAACCGAAGCAGUCACUAACAGGUGAUCAUCGUUUGGAGCGCAGCAGCAGUGAAUGGAGGCUUAGUAACCGUUUAUCCACUAUUGAUACCUGAAAUAAGCAAGGCUACCCGCUGAACUUAA
rnacentral:misc_RNA from 1 species